CCUACGGGAGGCAGCAGUGGGGAAUAUUGGGCAAUGGGCGCAAGCCUGACCCAGCAACGCCGCGUGAAGGAAGAAGGCUUUCGGGUUGUAAACUUCUUUUCUGAGGGACGAAGAAAGUGACGGUACCUCAGGAAUAAGCCACGGCUAACUACGUGCCAGCAGCCGCGGUAAUACGUAGGUGGCAAGCGUUAUUCGGCUUUAUUGGGUGUAAAGGGCGGGUAGGCGGGAAAGCAAGUCAGAUGUGAAAACUCAGGGCUCAACCCUGAGCCUGCAUAUGAAACUGUUUUUCUUGAGUGCUGGAGGGGCAAUCGGAAUUCCGGGUGUAGCGGUGAAAUGCGUAGAUAUACGGAGGAACACCAGUGGCGAAGGCGGAUUGCUGGACAGUAACUGACGCUGAGGCGCGAAGGCGUGGGGAGCAAACAGGAUUAGAUACCCGGGUAGUC
rnacentral:rRNA from 1 species